rnacentral:snoRNA from 1 species
AUUCGGGCUGAUAACUAGGCGGCCGGUCUCAAUUACCUACGACGUCUGCCUUUUAAGUGUCCGAUAUAUCAAUUUGCGAAGAUCUUACACGUUUCCAAAGCGCUGUUAUGGCUUUUUCAGUAUUUGACGACUUUUAAAUCUUCACAACAUGC